CCUACGGGUGGCAGCAGUGGGGAAUAUUGCACAAUGGGGGGAACCCUGAUGCAGCGACGCCGCGUGGGUGAAUGAGUACUUCGGUACGUAAAGCCCUAUUAGCAGGAAAGAAAAUGACGGUACUUGACUAAGAAGCCCCGGCGAACUACGUGCCUGUAGCCGCGGUAAUACGGAGGGGGCAAGCGUUAGCCGGAUUUACUGGGUGUAAAGGGAGCGGAGACGGCAGUGCAAGUGCGGAGUGAAAGCCCGGGGCGCAACCCUGGGACGGGUCUGGAAACUGUGAGGCUGGAGUGCGGGAGGGGGAGGCGGAAUUCCUGGUGUAGCGGUGAAAUGCGUAGAUAUCGGGAGGAACACCGGCGGCGAAGGCGGCCGGCUGGACCGUAACUGACGUUGAGGCUCGAAGGCGUGGGGAGCAAACGGGAUUAGAUACCCGGGUAGUC
rnacentral:rRNA from 1 species